UACGAAUGGGGCAAGCGUUUUUCGGAAUCACUGGGCUUAAAGCGUGCGCAGGCGGUCUUGAAAGUCAGAAGUGAAAGCCCCGGGCUUAACCCGGGAAUUGCUUUUGAAACUCCAAGACUAGAAUCCUGGAGAGGUCGGGGGAAUUCCGAGUGUAGAGGUGAAAUUCGCAGAUAUUCGGAGGAACACCAGUGGCGUAGGCGCCCGACUGGACAGGUAUUGACGCUCAGGCACGAAAGCGUGGGUAGCAAACAGG
rnacentral:rRNA from 1 species